GCUACUGAGUAUUGUUGUGCGAUCUCCCAAUCCUUGAGCGGGGAGAAGUUGCAGGGGCAGUGCUACAGGGUUGAGUUUUGUUUGGAUGAGACAUUACUGGAGACUUAGGGUGACUUUGCAAUAUUGUUUUGUUUACAAAUGCACAAGCAGAGCAUAUUGGAACUCAACGGGCAGCAAGUAUGCUAAUCCAAAACCAGCUGUCUGUCACCCCCCGUUUCCAAAUUCAAGCUGCAAAACUGCUUCUACUGUCUUUCUGCCUCUUCCCUUAACUCUGACGGGUGUCAUAUUCCAGAGGCAGGGGCAAGAGAUUCCGAGUCAUGUUCCAGGGAGCAUCAAUCAUCUGAACAAAGGAGGAUCUCCCAGCAUCUGUAACGGUAUUAAUUCAGAGGCUAUUUUCACUAAUAGGCAAAAAUCCUUUGCAGUUUAAGAAUGUACCUAUAACCAACAGAUAUUUCUAUCAAACUUUUAAAAAGCAGGGAAAUUGGGCAGCUGAAUGCACCAGGGGAGCAGGAGACCUGACCUCCUCUCUGAGAUAUUGUACUGCCCUACAAAUUUGUCAAAAUCCAAACAAUUUGGGUUGGUCUUUCACAGUCCAAUCCACUUGCUGUGUAGCUUGGAAGAAUUUGGUAACAUAUGGGACUAAUGUCAAUGAUGCAAUUUUGAAUGCGUCUACUAUAGAGGAUGAGAGAAUUUGGGGGAGAAAAAGGAGCCCUUUCCUUCCCUCUGUUAUGGUGGCUUCAAGUUCGGCAGGAAAGCAGUAGCAGCCAGUGGAGCAAGAAGAGCUGUGGUGACUGAUGCGGUAACAUGUGCCUCUGAGCAUAUGGGUUCAACUAGAAGAGCGGCUACUAGUGACUGGUAUCAUCAAGCAGCUGCUGACCCCAUGCCACAGGAGCCAAUUGCCAAUCCCUGGAGCCUACAGUCCCUGGUCUUCCUCGUUGCUGUUGCAGCCUGCUCACCUACCUUCUCCAAGCAAGCAAGCAAUAAGAGGAGCAAGGAGGAGGUGCAGUCACCUCUGUACAUCUUGCCCUCUCCUUCUGGACUCUGGAGGUGGUGCAAAUUAGGCCCGGAGGGAGAGUUGAGCAGUUGGGCAGUGGAUGUACUGGUGAAGGGCAGGGGGGCACUCUCAAGUCAGGCCCUCCAGGAGUAUCUUGCCAAGGGGACCUAAAAAACCUGGAACAGGCAGUGAUCCCUAAUAUUGAAAACAGAUAAUAGGCUGAGCCCUGGCAGAAAUUAGUUAAGUAAACUCCUUACUUUAUCUCUAAUGAAAGAAUAUAAGGAACUGUUUGGUCUACUGAGGACCAUAUAGUUAUUAGAUGGAAGGCUUCCAAAACAGUACACAGUUAGUAGCUGGGGUUCAGCAAGGCCCACAUGUGCACACAAAAUGCUUCUGUGCUUACAUGGGAGGACACUUGCUUUUUUCCCUUCUGCCAAAAGUCCUUUGAAAUUCAUGGCUGCACUGACCUUCAGAGCCAGUGUGUGUGUGUGUGGAAGAAGGGAGGGAGGUGGGGAACAGAGGCUGUCAUCAGACCAGAAGAGCAGAAAAGUCCACGUACGUGCAUGGAACAUGGUCCUUUGGAGCCUGCCAAUAUACAUAAUAUACCCCCAGUUUCCUGGACCAACGUGCAAGACUUGCAUUAAAAUGAACUGAUUCACCUCACAAAGCUGUCACAGUGGCCAACCAGGUGUCUACAGGAAGCCCACAAGAUCUCCUCUGACCUAAGAAUUGUAUUUGCAAAACCCUGUUGGCCUUGAAAUUGGGCUGGCAUUGGCAUUGCUUACGCUGAUUUAAAAGAGACAGCAAACAUCUUGCACAACAGGCCUACCAACAUGCUGAAUCAGCAUUUUGGAGCUAUCACGUCCUGCCACAAAUAUUAUUUUUCUCUCUUUGCUGCAGUUAUCUUUUGCUCUCUGCUCUUCUUCUUGUCUCUUUCCCCAUUCCUUCCAUAUGUCUCUUUUUGCCAAUAUCUUUCUGUUAGGAUAUCCUGUUUCAGAUGAAAAGGAACCUUUGAUUCUCUCUGUCUCCAUCUCUCUCUCUCUCUUAAACACACACAUUAUGGCACCAAAAGACUUUCCGCAACUGUCAUUUUACAAAAUAUAAAGGGAAAAUUAAAAUUAAAGGAAGCAAAUUAUUACAAAAUGGAAUCAAGAGUAUUUCAUAGAAACAUAGAACCAUAGAAUUGUAGAACUGGAAGGGGCCUAUAAGGCCAUCAAGUUCAACCCCCUGCUCAACUCAGGGAUCCAAA